rnacentral:rRNA from 1 species
GCCUGAUGCAGCCAUGCCGCGUGUAUGAAGAAGGCCUUCGGGUUGUAAAGUACUUUCAGCGAGGAGGAAGGCGUUGUGGUUAAUAACCACAGCGAUUGACGUUACCCGCAGAAGAAGCACCGGCUAACUCCGUGCCAGCAGCCGCGGUAAUACGGAGGGUGCAAGCGUUAAUCGGAAUUACUGGGCGUAAA